CUGCUGCCAUUCAAGGUCCACCCCACUUUCUGCCUUCUCGCGUGACUCCAGCUCCGUGCAAAGGCGCAGUUAACCGACUGCAGUUAUUGCACCUGGAAUGAAGAAGCAUUUAUGUCUGAGUUCUGGAUGUAGAGUAUCCUUCUCCUUUCUAAAGUCACUUUAACCACCAUGUGCUGCACCACUCCUCCCCAAGAUGUCCCUGUCCUUUUGUCAUCCUUGUCCCCUGGAGGCAGAUGGACAAUCUUCUGAUAGUAAAGUUCAUCAAUAAGCAAUAAACAGGCGAUCAGACUUUUCCAUUAAAUGGAGAGAGUCAAAGAGGAAAGAGCAGUAUGAGACAGGCGGACGACACGACAGUCAUUUAUUAAAGAUGAAGAGAAAAUCCCCCGUUUCUCUCCUGGAUUCCUAUUCCUGGAUAAUGGUUCAAUUCUUCCUCAUGUAUAAAUAAAUUUUGGCAACUAUUUUCUCCCCUACAAAACCACUGAAAUGAAAUGCGCAACAGGCAUGAUUAGCAUAAACCCAAAGCACUGCAGGAGGCUGCAGUGAAAAGUUAGCUGUGUAAAUGCCAUUUGGGACCGUUUCAUAGGCACUAUGAUAUAUUUUUAUGAGCAGCUGGUGUUUAUAAACACCAAUCAGAAGUUGUAAAUGUGGGCAGGGAUCUGUCAAGAACAGCAUUUAUAAAUGACACUUAUUCUAUGUUAAAGAGUCUGUCUGCAGGGAUAAUGUGACAUUUGUGUGCUUAAACUGUCACACUGCACUGUGAACCUUCAUAGGAAUACAAUAGAUUGGUACAAACAUUUCAUAAAACAUACAUUUCCA